rnacentral:rRNA from 1 species
GACGAACGCUGGCGGCAGGCUUAACACAUGCAAGUCGAGCGAGCCGCGGACGUGUGAGUAAUGUCUGGGAAACUGCCUGAUGGAGGGGGAUAACUACUGGAAACGGUAGCUAAUCCCGCAUACCAUCAGAUUUUCCCAGAUUGGAUUAGCUAGUAGGUGGGGUAAUGGCUCACCUAGGCGACGAUCCCUAGCUGGUCUGAGAGGAUGACCAGCCACACUGGAACUGAGACACGGUCCAGACUCCUACGGGAGGCAGAAGUGGGGAAUAUGGCACAAUGGGCGAAAGCCUGAUGCAGCCAUGCCGCGUGUGUGAAGAAGGCCUUCGGGUUGUAAAGCACUUUCAGCGAGGAGGCGUUACUCGCAGAAGAAGCACCGGCUAACUCCGUGCCAGCAGCCGCGGUAAUAC